AUUAUGGCUCAGGAUGAACGCUAGCGGCAGGCUUAACACAUGCAAGUCGAGGGGCAACGCGAGUAGCAAUACUUGGCGGCGACCGGCGCAAGGGUGCGUAACGCGUGAGCAACAUGCCCGUAUCAGGGGGAUAAUCCAGGGAAACUUGGUCUAAUACCCCAUAGUAAUUUUGUAAGGCAUCUUAUAAGAUUUAAAGCUUUGGUGGAUACGGAUUGGCUCGCGUGACAUUAGCUGGAUGGUAAGGUAACGGCUUACCAUGGCUAUGAUGUCUAGGGGUUCUGAGAGGAAGGUCCCCCACACUGGAACUGAGACACGGUCCAGACUCCUACGGGAGGCAGCAGUGAGGAAUAUUGGACAAUGGAUGGAAAUCUGAUCCAGCCAUGCCGCGUGAAGGAAGAAAGGUCCUAUGGAUUGUAAACUUCUUUUGUAUGGGAGCAAUAAGGCCUACGUGUAGGUUGAUGAGAGUACCAUACGAAUAAGCACCGGCUAACUCCGUGCCAGCAGCAGC
rnacentral:rRNA from 1 species